rfam:Clostridium sp. SY8519 DNA, complete genome.
UCCAUCGUGAGGUGGAAUCUGAAGGAAGCUGGAUGUGAGGAAAAUACUAACUCACGGGCAAAUCUCUGGUCUGACGGACAGAAAUCUCAUAGGAGGUUAUGCAUGAGGGUAAGGUUGCACGACAAAUCGAAGCCCAAUAACUACACGGAAUCAUGCAUGAUAGAUGAGGCAGAUGGAUGGAGAGGAAGAAACGUGUG